CAGAAUGUAAACAUAUAAAAGGCAUAUCCUUAAGGAAAAGUUAACAUAAAUCUAGAUGAACUAAUUGCCAGUAUAGAGACUAAGAUUUCAAAGGUGCUGAUAGUAGAAGUAGCGCUAAGUUAUUCGCUCUAUCCUGAUUACAUAUUAAAUUUACUCUGGAAUAUUGAAGCAUACGUUCUGUAAGAUCACUUUUUGGACAAACUAGCCCAGUGGGAUAUUUUUCUCUCCAUCGUUGUCUGGGAUCAAAACCCUGAGACUUGUACAUUUAAAGGAAAUUCAAGAACGAGAGAUGGAAGCCAGCACAGAGAUCCAAAUCUGGUGAAAAUACAGAGAAUAGGUGACCAUGGAGUGUCUCACUAACUCAGUAUAUCCACAUGAAAUAUCUAUAACCAAGGAUCAUGGAACA